ensembl:lncRNA
GUUAAGUUCUUUGCAAUAGAGCGAUAAACUGCCACCAGCUUUUGCUUUUCUAAAGGCGCAGCUCCGCUCUCCAAACUUUGACGCGCGUCUUCCGAGAGAGCGGCGCCAAGAUUAGCAACAGUGCUCCUCUCAGUAACAACAAGAACGUCUGUGUGAUCAAACACUCGUGUGUCCGACAAAGAGAAGUCGCUUCGGUGCGUGUCUGACCGCGACGAAGUUCCUCCCGUGUACCUCCUCUCGCCGUGUAUGCGCCCUCGGCUCGGUGCGCUCUCCAAAAGCGUCUUUUCUGGAUAUUUGCUGAUCAAAAAAGCCCUAAGCACCACUUGAUUUCCGAAAAAAUCCAAACCAAAACAAACAAACAAAAAGAAAAAAAACUAAAGCUUUACUCGAUGUCUUUCCUUCGCUCGGCUCUCGGGCUCAUAUCGAAACCAACUUUGAAGUUAUCUUCUGGCAGCCCUCUAGCAGCGUCGGUCGGUCUGUCGCUGUUGGGCAUGGCUCUGUGUGUGGGGGACUGCGCUGUGUGUGAGAGUCAACCCCCAAGCAGGGGUUCAGCCCAUUGCUUUCAGCCACCACUAGGAUGUACCACCACGUUACUGUUCAAUGGAUCGUCCUCAGACUUCUGUGUGAACACCCAGAUUUGACCUCCCAUCAUAUAAUAUCUCACCCGUCACCGCCCGUAUCCGCCAGAAGGCUGGGUCAUCAUAUUAAUGCGGCAGAGUAUUUUUAUUUCGUGACAUCGGCGAUUUUCUGAUUACACGAGCUGGAGCCCCACCGAGGCUAUUACAACGGGGGCCACUCUCUCUAUUCUCCGAGAGAGGAGUGAGAGUGCUGCUGGUGCUGCUGGUGGAAGAGGAGGAGGAGGAGGAGGAGGGGGGCAUGGUGGCGGAGGAGGGUGGGAGAGGAGGGAGAGCAGAAACGUGUAAUCACCCAAACAACCGUUUUUACCCGUUUCACCCCCUCUGGAUCUGUGUCGCAAGUCCGCUGUGAGCCUGUCUGCCUUUCACUGCGGAUAUCGUGGAGGGAGGCCGGAGCGUGAAGAAGACACCAGAGAGUUUCAGAUGAUGUCCAGUACGCCACGGCUGCUCCAGCCAAUAAACAAGGUGACUAACAAUGGAAGAGGGCCAGGAAUGAAGAGAGGGAGACAAGCUAACCACCACACCACACACAGCUAGAAUGCAAGGGCGGAAGAGGACAUUUUAUAGCUAGAAUUUGCCUUUUUUUUCUUUGUUUUUACGGCUAUGUUGAGAGGCUGUUUUUAAAACGUAUCAUUAUGACUAUACUGCAGUAUAGAAAGCUCAUGUCAUGUGUUUUAUUUUUAUUUCAGUCUUUUUAAAAUCAUUUUUUUGGGCAUAAAAUUUUGUCAUCAUAUUAAGCGAAGCUCUGUGAGGCAGGGGCAUGAUUUCUUAGGGAUUUCUUUGCUAGGACUACAGCUGUAAAACAUUCAGCUUAAAUGUAGUUUCUCUAAAUCGUGGUCAUUUAGGAUCUAAAAUAGCAAACCUUUUUUUCCUUGGACAGCAGAGUAUUAUAAUCCUCCCCGACCCCUGAAGACAAGAUACAAUUUAACAUUUUUUAAUAUAUUUGUAUAUAUCUGUAUUCUUGUUACUGUGUUUCUCCCAGAGCCAAAUUAAUUAUCACCUUUGCCCCAAAGAAAAGGCAAUUAAACAGGAGAGCUAAUGGUUUUUCCUCUAAAAAUGAAACGGGACAAAGGUUUUGUUCCCAUUUUAUUUUUUUAAUAACGUGUG